GGGGUAAACUGAACUCUAGCUUUGUGGAUCCUGGACUGCAGUCCAAUAAGAUACCUGAAUAUCAUGUGAAAAUGACAAAAUCGACCUCUGUUCUGCACGAGCACACAAACACACACAGACAAAAUUCAAUAUCGCAUUUUAUUCCCAAAGUCAAACCUAGAAUUUCUUGCGUUUCAGUUUUUAAUAUUAAUAUUCAAUCGAUGUUUAGAGGAGCUGUAUUAUUGAGUGUAUUGCAUCUAUUUCACUUGUAUCAGAAAUAGAUGCCAUUGUAAAAAAAAAAAGGUAUUGUUUUGCACAGAAAGUGUGCUUUUAUUCUUUUCUUUUUUUGUGAAGCUGACUUGAGUUUAUUAAUGCAUUUCCAGUUUUGAAGGAAGUUGUUUGUUUUUUGUGUUUUGUUUUUUUGGGUAGUUUUCUUUUUUCUCAUUCAUUCUCAUUUUCUUCACCUAAAGGAUGCAUCUGAGAUACGAAAAUGUACACUUUACCUCUUAUUUUAAAAGACAGUCGUUACUUUAUUAUUUUGAAUGUUAGUUCAGUUUUGAUUUGUAGGGCUGUAGCAAAUUAAAAACAACAUGAAGAUUUACUCCAUUGACCACAGAAGAAAGAUAUUUUUUUGUUAAUUUGGUUCGAUGUUGUUGUGUUCCCCGGUAUUGUAUGAAUCAUACUGAAGGAAAACCCAUACUGAUAACAAGACAAUCAGUUUCAGCCUCUAAAAAAGUCAGACAUGUUCCUGAGUUUAGUGCUUGAGCUGUUUACUAAGCAUCCCUUAAAUUAUUGGCUUGAGAAAUCUGUGGAGUCACACUUUUAAACUCAGGCACGUUACCUCUGCACAGCUCCAAAACUGUUAGAUCAGUUAGACUGUGAUCCUGCCAUGUCACUGCAGCAAAUAUAGAACACGAGCAUCUGUUCGCUCACAUUAAGGUCUGGCUGAUUAUUAAUUUGUUUUGGAAGGCUGUGUGUUUCUCUGUAUGCCUGCAAAUAUCUUGCAGUGGUUUAAAUAAGACUGCAUCAUCUGACAGAGAAUGAAGGCAAGCCCAUUAGAUCCAAGGUGAUUAUCUGAUCUAUAUUUGAAAGGUCAUUUAUAAUGGAUGAUCAGCUCUAACAGUAAUUUUUCAUGAGUCCGCCACCCAGUUUGCAUGCAUUUCUCCUCUUGCACCGCUGCAACACUUACUUAAUUUCAAUGUAAUCUCUUAAUCUGGUCAGCUAAUCCAGAGCAGGCACGCUGAACUUCUUUACCCCGCUCUGUUGCUCCUCCUCCUCGUGUCAGGCGGCCGGUUCAAGGUUUAUUCAUUUCUCAUUUUGCUCACCACAUUCACAUUACACUUUGUUUAGUUUGAAUCACAUCACAACAAAUAAAAGUGUUCCGCUUCACUGGCUAAUCGGACACUCUUGUUUCACUCACGCAUGUGAAGAUGAUUUCUUCAACCAAAGAUCUACAUGACAGUUAAAAUUGAAUUUCCACUUGUCUGACACAUCCUCAGCAGUAGAUCUGAGUAAGGAUCCCAUGCAGAGAUACUGUAGGAUCCAACUGGAGGGCUAAAUACCCUGUGAUAAUAAAAAGGCCUCCUCUUAUAUAAUAAUAAUACGCACAAAGGAACAUGGUUCACCACGACAUAACAGUGCCUCCUGGUGGACAGACAGUGUUGCUCCCCCAGUGUCACAGAAUGUUAUUUCCUGUUAUCUCCAUUUAUCUGCUUUUUUUCCAGUGAUAAUUUGGAAAUGUCUUUGAAAAGCAAUAUAUUUAUUUCUUGUGUGGCUAUAUGAAUAUUUACAGGAAAGGUUGUAACACAAUCAGAGCGACGUGCAUCAGAAACAGUAAGGAACAAAAGGGAAAGACUGCAUAUAUGUCAGUGUGUGUCAUUAUGAUGAUGGAACCAUUAAAAAAAAAGAAUUGUUUUGUUUAUAAAAGAGUAUUUUGUUGUAAAGAUGAGAGAAUGCAUUAGCCUGGAAUAUAUCAUGUGAUAGGACGUACUAGAUAGAUUUUCAGAAUAGUAUUCAAGGAAACUUGAAUAGAUAUGGAUUUGAGUUGUUUUUUUUUCUUUGAAUGUUUUUGUCAUUUGAGUUUGUUUUACUGUUUUAAAACAAACCUAUAAUCAAAGCUUUCUGUCAGAGUUCUGACAGCACUUUAUCCACUGCAAAGGUUGGAGAAAGCCAACUGUUGGCUUUUAAGUAGAGAUAACUACAUGAAUAAGUAAAAAACAAUCUCAUUGCCCCUUAAUGUUAAACUGUAUUACUGCUUAAGACUGGUAUUAUAAGCCAACAAGAAGGAAAUUCAGUGAAUUUGUUCAAACACUCUCUCCCUAACAGAUGAUAAAUAUUCUGGAUCUUUGUUUUCUGCUCUAACUGUAUGUAUAUUUUUGCUCAUGUUUACUGCAAACCAAGAUAGAGAAAUGAAUAAAUGUUAUUUAAGGGAACUCAAA
ensembl:lncRNA